rnacentral:lncRNA from 1 species
CUUUGGAUUUCCUCUCACAUACCUCACGAUUAGUAGGAGAUCACAGCAACUUUUUGCACAGAAAUCCAGACCAGAUCCUCAGCCAGGAGGGACUCGGCCGUGUAGUGACCGUGGGGUUUCACAUCUGGCAUUUCUCCCUACGAAGCAGAUCAGCUCUCUGUUCUCAAGAUUUUGCUUCUCUCCACCUGCCCCCAGCACUGCACCGAACCCAGAAGGAGGGAAAAGCUGGCACUGACAGCCAGGAGCAGAAGAGAAAUGGGAGCACAGGGAAAGCAGGGAAGCUGUGUAGUGUUACAAGCAGGAGACAGGAGCUGCUGACAAAGUUCUUCAUUCUGUUGCCAUUCUGCUGCAGCCCAGGUCAUGCCAACAUAUUCCAGUGCGUGUGAGAUCACCAUCAAAGAGGUUGAAUUCUUCCUGCUGAAAAUAUUUUGUGCAUUUGUCGGGAAUUAGAUGCUUUAUAUUACAUAUAUUCGUAGGGAUCUUGAAUCACAUAUCACCAAUCACGUUUCAGUGAACAACAGCCAGGGGCUUUUCUUCCCACAUGAAUGGCUGCGGUGAGAGCUGGGUGUCCAUUGCCACAGACCCCUAUAGAAGACAGCUGAACUGUUGCAAAUUAUUAGAAACCGAUGGCAUAGAGGGUACAAAUAUCAGUUAUCUUUAGCUGUCCUUUGGGUUUUCUGUAUCUUCACAUUUCCACCACAAGACAGAGAGGGCCAGCUGACAGAUACUGUAGUACAGUAAAUAAGCAUCUCAUUUUCGUUACCCCGGUUCGUUACCAUUACGCUGAGAAUGUGAGCAAACAUGGAGCAGCACAACAGAUGGGUCCAAACAGCCCGUGGUUCCUCUGCAUGGAGAUCUGCAAGACUGCUCUCUAACGACACCGACGCAUUGCUCUACCCAAUGGGGUUUAUAGGUGCACGUAUUUGUUUUCCUUUUGAAACAAGGACCCACACAAGCUCCACCCCAUGGCUGUGAUACAUCUCUGUGCAACUUGAGGAAUGCAGUCAGUACCUCCCCUUGGGGUACGUCUUGAAAGCCAAAGCCACUGAAGCAGCCUGGAAGGCUAUCGCAUGCCUGGCAGGGCUUACUUGUAACGGCAUAUUCCAUGUGAUAAGGGGGUAGGUUUGCAAGAGGAAAAAAUCAGCCUGGAAGUUUUGACAGAUCGCAAACGACCGGAUUUGAGCUGUUCAGAGAAUGUGCAUCCCAGUCCUGGAAGGGUGAGACUGCGGUCACAGGUGGGAUGUGAGGAACAUUUACAAUCAGGAUUGCUUUCUUCUGUGACCACAGUUCUUCUCUCUUCUCAAUCCCCGCUGUAUCAGAUGCCCCCACAUCUGGGAACAACCAAACAAAAGCCCAGCCACCAACAAGUGAGGGGAGGGAACAAACCAAGAAAUGGCAGCACAGAUUUGGACAGCAGUCUCACACAGGAAUCACUGAAAACCUUUUCUCACUUAGGGAAACUUCUAUUUCCAUCAUAGCCACCCAUUUUUUUCCAAGAACUGAUUUAAAUACAGGUAUCCAUGUCUUAGUUAAUCACCUUUAGUGUUCAGCCAAAUACAUUAAUGGUUCAUUUGAAUAUGGAAAGGUAUCUGCUAUUAGACGUCAAUGAUGCAACCCCCAGUUGGUGUCACAAGGGCUAAGGUGUCAUUCUGUGUAAGGUGGUCUCUCUCCUCCUCCUCAUGCUCUUCUGCAGCAGUGUCUUACAG